CAACAGGCACUCAGUUGCAAGUGGUGUUCCGGACGUGUCGGUUCAGAGGGUGGAAGGAGUAGUUACGCUAGAAUAAUAGAACGCUAUAUGCACUGUAGUUGUAUUCAUCUAUAGAGUGAGGCUGUUAUAAUAAUAAUUUGCGUUCGGUAAAUUGAAUAACUAUUAGUCCGUGGCUUACGGUUCGCAAUUGUAAAUCUAAUAAUAUAACGAGUGACGUACAAGGCGAUAUCUACAAAUUUCAGCUGAUUUAAAAUGGGUCGUUCAGCUCAUGCAGUAAUGAUUGUGAUUAAAAAGACAUUGCUGGUUUGUUUGUUUAUGUUAUUAAUAAGAAGUUGUGAUGCGUCGUUUCUUGAUUGGUUUUGGGGUGGAACCGUUGAUGUUCCCAAUGUUAAGGUACAUUUUGAAAUAAGCACUGAAGAUGAAAAAUUUCUGCAAGAAGCAAAGAAAUACACGAGUAUGAAGAUGUCAGACCUAGACGACUGCCAACAUCGAGUUGUCGUGAAUAUUCAUAAAAGAUGUUCGGAUCUGACAGAGGAAGAACUGGCCAGAAUGAGCGUAAAUCUAUUGAACUGUCAGUCUGCAGUGGAGGGGAGACAACAUUUUCCCUGUACUACCAGAAUGAGCCUUCAACAGUGCACAAGUUCGAUGGACCCAGACAUGUGGAAUGCAUACCAUCUGAUGAACAACCGAGCCAGGGCCGUUUGUUAUGCUGCCAGAAACCAGCAGUUUCGAGCUCUCACAGAGAUGACAGUCGACAAACUCAUGGACUCUGCACACAGCCACCUCAACACGAUGGACUCUCUCAAGGAAGACCAUCAGAAGUUGGAAUCACUGACAGCUAGUACAUUGGAAGCUGUGUCUGAUGGCCACCAGUCCCUUAUGGAUCAGCAGGAGAAGUUAAGAGUUACCCAACACAGCAUUCAGGAUUUCGUAGCCCUGAAUCUGCGAGAGCUGACACGAGAGAAAGUGCUGAUAGCAUCAGGUCACCAUGAACUUGUCAAGAUGAUGGAUGAUGUCAGAAACAAAUUAGAUGAGGCGAGUUUGGAAUUCAGCAGCCAGGUGAACGAGCGCCAUGAGAAUCACAAGCAACUGCGGGAAGAUCUGCAGACUGUCAUGGAGCAGGUGGCUCUCCUCUGGCAGAGGAUUGAUCACAGCACGCAGGAGAUCCUUGCACGCCAUGAGUCGGCAAGAGCGCAGUACAACUCGGCACUCUACAAGCUGUCACAGAUCAAUGCCACAGUCAACUUCCUCCUGGAUCUGCUGGACAAGACCAGACAGGAAUUUGAUGAGCGCCUGGGCUGGCUCAACAACCUGAUGCCAGAUACUGGCAACCAGCUGGAUCACCUUUACAGCUGUGUACUUCACUUUCUGUACCUGAUUGUGGGAAUGAUUACUGCAGCAUUUAUCAGAGCUCCGACCACCUCACGUAUUUUUCUCCUCCUCUUUGUGCCUCUGAACCUUGCUGUCACAUACUCUCAUGGGGACACAGCUGCCCUUAACUUCCCAUCCAUGACCAUACUCAUCUUAGCGUCAACAGCAGUCUGCUACGUGAUCCAGAGAGUGCUACAUUAUUGGACAUCCAGACAGCCGAGACCCCUGUCCAGCCUUCAUGGCAGCCAACCACAGCCAAUGACCAAUGGGUUCAUUACUAACCCAUUUCCACCUAUGAAGCCUGUUGCUGUUAUGCUGUCUCAAAGGAGCAGCAUAAACAUGCUAUCACUCUUCGCUGGAGACCCUGGCAGAAGACUGAAGUCUCUCGUGAACAGAUGCCCUAGUCCCAUGCCGUCAGUGUCGGCUGCUGCCUCAUCCAGAGGGGACUCUCCACGGCCUGAUGAGAGGGUCCGCAUUCUGACUCCCGUGCGUGACAGAAUCCUAGGUGAAGGCUCAAGUGGCAGUGGUGAGGUUGCCCUUGGGCUGGCCCAUUUUGCAGAGCGCUCUGCAAACUCCAACAGUUGCAGCAGUAACAACUGCCUUGUUCAAGCUGGCACAUCACGAACACUGAGGCGGCGCUAUUCCACACCGGUCUACUUCCCACCCGCACCCAAACCCACCUCUUCUUUUAGUGGGACACCUCACCGAGGUCCACCAAGACCUGUAUGCCGUGCUAUCUGUCGGAAUGGCCAACAGUGUCACACCAGUGCAUCUGUGGGCAGUGAUCUGUGUUGGAGACACGCCUCCUGAUCAUCCUUUUGCCAGUACUGAAAGUUAUUAAAGGUGCCUUCAUACUGCAGAUGGUCGUACUGUUUAACACUGGUACCCGUGUGGCCCACCCAGCCACUGUGGCAGCAGUGAAUCAUUUGCACGUUGCUGUCUUGCUGGGUGUGGCACCAUGUUGUAAUGUGGCUGGUGGGUACCAGUCUCUUGGAGCCUCGUGGUGGAAACGGCUUCACCUUCCAUAACGGGAAUUUCUUUUCCAGCCACAUAUGGUAAGUACAAACUGAGGCGGGCUUCCUGUUGAGGUUUACACGUUUAUGUGGGUCAUCUAACAAUGAAGCCUCUCCGUCUGUCUACCUGAACUGAAAAUGCUUUUAUAAGUCAUGGAAUUUCAUAGCCUACAACAUAUGCGUUCUGACAUGACUACAGUGAGCAUGUUAAUAGCACUCAACAUAAGGAAAUCUGCUGUGAGGUCUAAUUACACUACACUGCUCUGACGCUCACACGGUACGGUCUUGUGCCCAUGACAGCUGCCCACUGCUGCCUUAUCCUUGCAUGCUCUCUGAGGCUAGAACUGUUUUCCAUUCUUAACACUCUGACUUCCUUCACACUUUACAGAAGGAAAUCAGAUACCUGACGUUUUAAGCAGAGGCAUACCUUAAAAGCAACUGGACACCAAUAAUAUUGAAGAUAUGAAUAUUCAGACUUCAUUAAAGUAGAAUUUGACUCGUAUAUAACACCACAGGACAGAGGAGAUAAAAAUAUAUUACGCCUGCUAGAUAUAGAUAAUCACACCACCCUUGCAAUAAAUUCAUUCAUCCGAAUCAUCAUUACGGCAGCCGAUGUACUACAUUCAUGAACAGUCCCAAGAUUAGGAAUUAAAAGGGAGAUUGUAAGCUUGGGCUUUGCGUCUUGUUUCAGUAACGAACUUGUACAGUUGGCAGCCCUGAAAUGAUGGGCAAAAGGUGGUGAAUGUUGAAGUUACUUGAAGAUCCGUUAAUAUGUACAUACUGACAGGUUUCAUGACCUGUCAUUUCCACUGUGAUCUUCAGCUGCGUCUUGGGAAUUUUUAUGUAGUUUGUAAUUCAGCUCCUGGAAUGGGAUUCACUCUUGUGUUUGUUAUUACAAUGUGCUCAUAUCUUUUUAUUCUCUGUGUGUUCUGAUGUCUGACAGUUAUUU